rnacentral:sRNA from 1 species
GCUGGGUGCAGUGAUGUACGCCUGUAAUCCCAGCAGCUUGGGAAGCUGAGGCAGGAGGAUCACAAGUUCAAAGCCAGCCUCAGCAACUUAGUAAGGCCCUAAGCAACUCAGUGAGACCCUGUCUCUA